rnacentral:rRNA from 1 species
GUGUGUGGCAUAAUACGGAAAAAAUGUAUAGUUAGGUCUGAUAGGCUUUUCAAAUACCAGAAUAUCUUAAUGGCGCCGAAACGUAUCUAGUACGUAGGACAAAUAUAGAGUGUUUAGGCUUUAUAUACGCUUAAAUUCUAGUUAACAGCUACUAAGGUUUAACCAUCUUUAUACUAUUAGCCUUAACAUUUAUAUCAGAUAUAUUGAGGUGUUUAAGUGCUACUAUAUAAUAAUUAAGGAUUAUAUUAAAAAUGUCACCAUUAGUAGAUUAGUUUCAUAGAUGUUAAAAAUGAACUCGGCAACUAAUAUUCUCAACUGUUUAUCAAAAACAUAGCUAUAUGGUUUUAUAUAUAGUUAUUUCUGCUCAAUGCUUAAUGUAAAUAGCCGCAGUACUCUGACUGUGCAAAGGUAGCAUAAUCAAUUGGCUUAUAAUUGAAGUCUGGUAUGAAUGAAAAUAUGGGGAUUAACUGUAUCAAUAACAUUUUUUAAAAUUACUUAAUGGGUGAAAAGGCCCAUGUUUAAAUAAUAGACGAGAAGACCCUAGAAAUUUUUAAAUAUACAUUAACUGUAAAAUUUUGGUUGGGGCGACGCAGUAACAUUUUAACUUACUAAGGUGUUUCCAUAAGACUAUUAUAUUGUGAUUAAUUAAAUUACUCUAGGGAUAACAGCAUAAUAUUUUAAAGUUUGUGACCUCGAUGUUGGAUUAGGAUACUUCCGCCCAGAAGGCCAAUGGUAAGGCUCUGUUCGAGCGAAUUACUCCUACAUGAUCUGAGUUCAGACCGGCGUAAGCCAGGUCAGUUUCU